GAUGAACGCUGGCGGCGUGCUUAACACAUGCAAGUCGAACGGUGAAGGCGGAGCUUGCUCUGCUGGAUCAGUGGCGAACGGGUGAGUAACACGUGAGCAAUCUGCCCCCGACUCUGGGAUAAGCGCUGGAAACGGCGUCUAAUACUGGAUACGAGCUGCGAAGGCAUCUUCAGCAGCUGGAAAGAAUUUCGGUCAGGGAUGAGCUCGCGGCCUAUCAGCUUGUUGGUGAGGUAAUGGCUCACCAAGGCGUCGACGGGUAGCCGGCCUGAGAGGGUGACCGGCCACACUGGGACUGAGACACGGCCCAGACUCCUACGGGAGGCAGCAGUGGGGAAUAUUGCACAAUGGGCGAAAGCCUGAUGCAGCAACGCCGCGUGAGGGACGACGGCCUUCGGGUUGUAAACCUCUUUUAGCAGGGAAGAAGCGAAAGUGACGGUACCUGCAGAAAAAGCGCCGGCUAACUACGUG
rnacentral:rRNA from 1 species